rnacentral:lncRNA from 1 species
AAGUAUACAGGUGCCAUUGGAUUGAUUAAGGGCUUGGGAAAUCAAAAGGAAUUUAGUAGCAUACGGAGUUUGCCGUUCAUGAUAAUACAUUGUUAUUUUGUGCAAGCGAGCAACAAAGUGUACUAGCACUCAAAGCAAUUCUCUAAGGUUUUGAAGGUGCCUUAAGGCUGAAAAUUAAUUUUCACAAGAGCUCCAUUCUUUGCUUGAAUAUGGAUGAGGAGGAAGCA